UAAUAGCACUUGCCGUAGUUGCCAAAUCGAAAAGAGCAAGGAAGAAUCGUUUUGGAGAUAAGUAGUUUCAUUGAGGGCACCAAUUGGUUUGAAUACAACAAUGGAACGUGAUAUCAAGAUAUAAGGUCUUACGAUAGUAUAUUAAAAUGGCGAUUCUAACGCUAAUUGUGCCCGAAGGUGCAGCCUUUAUUUAGUGCUUAGUUAUGGAACUUUAUAUUUGUUAGGUUAAUGACGUUUUAUGGACGUGUCAGUGGUCCGUCCUCUCUUUUUUACCCAGAAACAUUUAUACCAAGUUCAUUACGAUAUCUCAAUUUUUACUCAAGUUACAGUUUGCACAAUUCGUCUCUUCAUCCUGAUCAUUUAUAUAUACAUAAACCUAUAUCUAUCUCGAUUAAUUUCAGGUGAUACAAACAACCGUUAGGUGAACAAAACUAUUAUAUUCUCUAGUAACAUGUUGCAAGAGUAAAAAAAAUUUACUAGUACAGAAAAGAUAAUCGCAAGUAAAAGAAGGAUAACUAUUAUUAUAAAAAAAAUCAUACAAUUGUUAUAAGAAGAAGAUAUACAAAUUUACAAGUAAAUAACUUUUAUAAAAAACAAAAACUGACCACAGCGUUACGCACGAACGCACUUAUAAAAACGACCUGGAUAAAAUACCUGACAUUGUGAAAUGCCUUAGGGACGAGUCCAUAAGGACUAUGACUUAUUCAUUUAGGGACAAAGUCCCCGACACAGUCAUUAGAGGGCUAAAGCCUAUUUACCUCGUCUCUUUAUAAUGCGAGAACCGACAACCUUGCCUCAAGCCCUACAACUGUGCCAAAAAAUAGAAAAUAUGACCUACAGAAUUAAUCAUACGCUUAAACCAAAUAACCAACCAUAUCACCACGACUUCCUCGACAUAAUAUUUUUUAUAACAACAGAGUAUUUUAACCUAAACUAACGUCUUCUUAUUCGCCUAUACAAAACUUCGACCAACAUGCAUUUGGUCGUCAACCAAAUCGUUAUUCCCAAUACCCUUACGCUUCUUUCGCCUACGGAGCUCAGUAAUCACCCGUUCCACGUAAUAACUAAGUACAAUAUAAUAAUAAUAAAUAAACAGGGAUUCACACCAAGGUUCAAUAACUAUGCGAAUAACCCCCAAACUCCCUAAGGGGUUAGAAAUCUAUUCAUUACUUCUUUUAAUAACAGACCGAACUUGCCACCAAAAACCACAGACCCCAUCUCCAUCGGGGUCCAGUCAUUACAUUCAAGACUAGUUAAUUACCAAAAAAGACCUGGUUCCUUCCAAGACAGUCGACCAACGUAACGUACUAACACGGAAGCAACAAACCUAAACGAUUACCAAGAAGAAUCAGUUCCGAACGGAAUUUAUGAGGACGUUUCUCGCUAUAACUAGUAUGAUACUGCAAAACAAGAUGAUCUUGAUACUACUCACUUUUAGAUUCGAUUUUUGACUUAUACUGGAUCUAAUAAGAAUCAACUAAGAUUAGGAACGCAAUUUUGCACGAAAAUCUCCUUACCGUAAAAUGAGUUGGGAGGACGAUUGAACACUUUUGUAGACAUCUUUCGAUUAGCAGAAGGAAAAAUCAAAUUCUUCAUAAUACCAAAUGUAAGGUCGUUUCACUGAGUAGACAUAGUAGACAACGAUAUACUCAAACAAUUGAAAGCAAUUACCCAUACCGAUAAAAAUUUAAUGACAAUUGGUGAGAAUAUACAUAAAUAUAGCGCUAAAGCAGCGAAUAUCACACGAAGAUAAUAAUAUCGGAGUCGAUAUUCCGCACGUUUAAAAAACCACAAAUUAACAAUAUUAUUAAUAAGUGUACAAAACUUUUUUCCGAUCCUGACCAAAAGCGCACCUACACCACUCUCGUAAAAGGUGAAAUCCGGACUUCUAAACUCCGGACUCCGAAACCCCAGUUUACUUCAAACCAUAAAAGCAUCCACUAGUAUUAAAAGAAGAAGUCGAACGCCAAGAACUUUUUGCUAACGGAAUAAGAAGGAGAUCUAAAUCUCCAUAGAACUAUUUAUCGUUAUCAAAAACUCAGAUGUAUUCGGUGAAAAGAAGUUUCGAAUGGUCGUUGAUUAUCGCGAGCUCAAUUCAGUUACGAUCCCCAAUAAAUACCCUAUAUUUGAGAUUAACGAGUUCCUUGCAAAUAUUUGAAUAUAAUUUUAUAUUUACUGACACUAAUAUAAAGAGUGGAUUUCACCAGUUCGUGAGUCUGUAUAGAAAAAACUGCUUUUCCAUAAACAACGGAAAGUAUGAAUAUUUCCGAUUUCCUUUCAAAGAGCACUAGAUGACAUUAUUUGUCAACAUAUAAGAGUAAGAUGCUAUGAUGUAAUAAUAUUCGUCAAAAACGAAGCGAAGAAAUAUGAAAGUCCAAUUAGACUAAUGCAAAUUUUCCAGUGCCACAAAAUCUAAAGGAACCAACUUACUACCGACGAUUUAUCAAGGACUAUUCAAAAAUAGCUAAACUAUUAACAGCACUCCUAAGAAGAGUCCGUAAUGUCCCUAAACGACAGUCGAAGAAAAUUUAAAUGAAAUUAGAUAACGAAGCACUCGAUAAAAUAAAAAAGAUAUAGUUUUAGCACAUCCAAAUUUUGAGAAAGAUUUUGAGCUAAUAACCGAUGUCUCCGAUUUUGCUUUAGGUUCCCUCCUAUCGCAAGAUGGUAGAUGGUAGUAAGGCUGAAGAAGACUAUGCUACCAAUGAGAGGAGAAUGCUCUCUAUAAUAUGGUGACCUCAUUCACUUAGGAAAUACCUCUACCAUAAAAAAAAAAAAAUUACUGACCAUCAACGCCAAUAGUAACGAACUCCUCCACAAACCUAGUAAAACAUGUGUGGGCGUCUGCAACCUUUCAAGAAUACCAAAAAAAAUCAAUUCACUCACACCUACUAUUAAUAACCAUGAAAGCUCAAGUCAUAAUUCAAUCCCUUGUAGAGAAGUUAUAAUUAAUGUGCUCACGAAUCAAAUAUUUUUUAAGAAUGAUGAAAUAUCUUCAUAUCAAUUUAAGAUAAUUUUUCCAACUGUUCAUAGACACAUCAUUACAGAUCCGGAGUACAAUGAACAACUACUCGUUUCCUACAUGAAACAAUACCUUAAUCCAUCUGUUAUAAAUGAAAUUCACAUAGAGGAAAGAAUAAUGGAUAUUCGCACCGAAGAAUAACAGGAGAAUGUCAUAUUAAAGGAACCCCUAAAAUCCUAUGCGACCGAAAAUAAAAAACGAAUUCUUGAAGGAAAAUAUUUUCUCGGUAUGUUCAAUAAAAUAAAACAAUUAACCGCACAGUUUGUAAAGAAAAUAUGUACGAAGACAUCCGAACCAACCGAAAUUAGCAGAAACUCCAUUUCCAACAUAUCUAGGGCACACAAUCCAUAUUAAUAUAAUUUUAACAAAAGAAAGAAUAGUUAUGACAGCUUUAGAUAAAUUUACAAAAUACGCAGUAACAAAAAACUUAAAUAACAUAGCAAUAGAACACGUUAGAAAACCUCUAAGAUAUAUUAUAUUUUUCUUCGGAGAACCAAAAUUAAUAGUUAUAGGCAAUGAGCCAUCUUUAACUUCAGCCUCAUUAAAACUUAUGGUAAUAGACGAGUUAGGAAUAGAAGUUUACACUACUUUUCCAAAAAAAGGCCAAGCUAAUGGACAAUUUGAAAGGUUAAUUAGAGUAAUGCGUUGCAUAAAAGAAAACGGUAGACACAGAAAUUUUGAAGAACGUUCGAAUAUAACAGUAUAAUCAGUUCAUUCCACAUCAUUAAAAAGACCAGUAGACCCAUUUUUUCAUAGAAAUGUUACAUUUACCCUCGAAGACAUAGAAAAGACUAGACAAAUCAACAGAAAUUAGCUCAACAAAACUAGGAUAUCGAAUACAACAGUAAAAAUAAGUAAGAAAUAUAGACCUAUCUACCAGGACAAGUAAUUUUUGUUAAGUAAAAUAGGAGAUUAGGAACUAAGUUAAGUAAACCUUACAGUAAGGAGAUAGUUAAAUAAGAUAGAAAUAGUACCGUGUUAACUGAAAAAGAACAAAUAAUUCACAAAAGUAGGAUACGCAUUUAAAUAAGUACCGACAUUAUUUUCUAGAAAAUUACUACCGCUUUGGCUGGCGGAAGUAUAGAUGCUCGAUUAUUCAAACGCACAACUCUGGACAGUAGAGAAAGAAACAGAACUACAAACAGGAACAUUUAAAAUUAUACACAGAAUUGACAUUGGAAGAUAUACGGAAAUCUUUUAUCAUAUAGAAGCGACUAUUGAAACCGAACUAAUCCGCAAAAGUUCUAACUACCCCUACAUAUUUCAUCUAAUAACACAAAUAAAAACUGAAUAAUUUAACUAAAUAAUAAACUCACAAUAGAUAGAAUUAGUGAAAUGAUGCAUAUUACAAAAAACAUAAUUAAAACUAUAUAAAAUAUUUAGAAAAUAGAAUCAUUAUAUAAAAUAUAAUAUAAUAUAUCAAUAUAAUAAAUUCGUUUAUCUUGUCAAAUGAAGAAAUAUAUAUUGCAUGAAAAAUAAUUUUCAGAAAAAAAAAUUGCAACUAAUGGCAAAAUUAUAAUUUAUAUUGUAAGCCUCCAACGGUGGAUAACCAAAUUUGUAAAACAGUAGACAUUUCAGCUGUAAAAAAUAAUGGAAGAAUAAAUAAUAAAAAUUUUAAGACAAAUUUUAAAUUGCGAAAA